CCGCUGUUUCUAUGUAGAUUUACUUUGACUCAUUUAACACAUUUGGUUGCAGCUCCAUGCUGCAGUGAUAGUCCUACAGACGUACUGGCAUGCGCUACGAUUUGCAAAGGCAUUGCAGUAAUGAUAAGAAGUGUACACAAGCACAGAGAUUGUGCUAUGGUUGUGGAAAUGUUUUGUCUCUGUGCUAUUAAAAAGUGUAAGGAACAAAAUACCUUCUCACAAAAAAAAGCAACACACUAUACGAAUGCAUCUGCAAACAGAGGCAAUAUGUGUUGUAAUAUAUU